GAGUGAACGCUGGCGGUAGGCCUAACACAUGCAAGUCGAACGGCAGCACAGUAAGAGCUUGCUCUUACGGGUGGCGAGUGGCGGACGGGUGAGGAAUACAUCGGAAUCUACUUUUUCGUGGGGGAUAACGUAGGGAAACUUACGCUAAUACCGCAUACGACCUACGGGUGAAAGCAGGGGAUCUUCGGACCUUGCGCGAUUGAAUGAGCCGAUGUCGGAUUAGCUAGUUGGCGGGGUAAAGGCCCACCAAGGCGACGAUCCGUAGCUGGUCUGAGAGGAUGAUCAGCCACACUGGAACUGAGACACGGUUCAGACUCCUACGGGAGGCAGCAGUGGGGAAUAUUGGACAAUGGGCGCAAGCCUGAUCCAGCCAUACCGCGUGGGUGAAGAAGGCCUUCGGGUUGUAAAGCCCUUUUGUUGGGAAAGAAAAGCAGCAGGUUAAUACCCCGCUGUUCUGACGGUACCCAAAGAAUAAGCACCGGCUAACUUCGUG
rnacentral:rRNA from 1 species